GACGAACGCUGGCGGCGUGCUUAACACAUGCAGGUCGAACGGAAAGGCUCUAGCUUGCUGGAGUACUCGAGUGGCGAACGGGUGAGUAACACGUGGGUAAUCUGCCCUGCACUCUGGGAUAAGCCUGGGAAACUGGGUCUAAUACUGGAUAUGACCUUUCUCCUUAUGGGGUUUGGUGGAAAGUUUUUCGGUGUAGGAUGAGCCCGCGGCCUAUCAGCCUGUUGGUGGGGUGAUGGCCUACCAAGGCGAUGACGGGUAGCCGGCCUGAGAGGGUGAUCGGCCACAUUGGGACUGAGAUACGGCCCAGACUCCUACGGGAGGCAGCAGUGGGGAAUAUUGCACAAUGGGCGGAAGCCUGAUGCAGCGACGCCGCGUGAGGGAUGACGGCCUUCGGGUUGUAAACCUCUUUCAGCAGGGACGAAGCGUGAGUGACGGUACCUGCAGAAGAAGCACCGGCUAACUAUGUG
rnacentral:rRNA from 1 species